UACAGAGGUCCCGAGCGUUGUUCGGAUUCACUGGGCGUAAAGGGUGCGUAGGUGGCCUAGAAAGUUUGAUGUGAAAGCUCAGGGCUUAACCCUGAAAUGGCAUUGAAUACUGCUGUGCUGGAGGUUUGGAGGGGGGACUGGAAUUCUUGGUGUAGCAGUGAAAUGCGUAGAUAUCAAGAGGAACACCAGUGGCGAAGGCGAGUCCCUGGACAACACCUGACACUGAGGCACGAAAGCUAGAGGAGCAAACAGG
rnacentral:rRNA from 1 species